CGAUGCCGUCAGUGUUGGGCAGGAUGAUGAUGGCGUGAGACUGGAUGCUGGUCUGGAUCUGCAGGGACACACAACAUGACGGCAUGGCAGGUAGAUGUCGUAGACGGCCCCGGAGUCGACGUCCACGGCAUGGAAGCCUGAACAUGAGCCGUAAAUGACCUUUAACCUCUGACCUUCCUCCACCGUCAGGUCGACCAGCAGGGGCUUGUGCACCAGGUCACCGAAAGACUGAAGGACGCAGUGACCAGGACGUUGAGUCCCUCCAGGACGUCCAUCUGCUGGAAGCGCCUCCGGUUAAUCAGAGGAUAAACUUUCCCCUGACCGCUGCGAUCCAACAGCAUCAGACCGCUCUCUGUUCCCACCAACAGCUACAGACCCUCAGCAGGAGAGCAGACAGCAGCUCCGAGUCCCCGUCUGAAUCUGAAUCCAAUCAAUGCAAACCCAGAGGGACCGAACACCUCACACUCUCCGCCGCAUCAGCAGACUUUCUGUUGCCGUUACACAGAUUAGACCCGGCGCUGCUGCUGCGGACACCGGCCGUCUGUGACACCUGGCACGAGAGCGUUUGUGACUAUUUCUGCCUAUCCCGGCUUUAUGGCUUCAAACUAUGGGGGCGCAGUUUGCUGUCAACGGAUGUCUGGACUUACCGACGUUGUUGAGAGCGCUGCCGGUGGAUGGAGAGACUUGGAGGAGGCGUGGGUCGAUGAACGGAGUGAAGGAGGAAGAGGACUUGUGUUUCUGCAUGUUGUUACUAGACUGGCUCUACAGUGAGCCAGUACCUGUCUGACGAUCAGCGUGCUGUCUUUGCAGGGCGUCGAGCCUGCAUCGCUCUCGCCUUCGUCAUGAACGAUCAUGGUUU